CAAUGGGAGUUAUUUAUUAGACGGAAUGGUUACCAGAGCUUCAACCUCUGUGACUCAGAUUUUGCUGCCAAGAAGAGAGUGGUUGCCGAGCUACGAGGUUCUGGAGAUCUGACUACAGCUGCAUAUUCUAAGGUCAAACUAAUGAGACUGGUGUUCUGGUGCAGUCUUUGACAACGUUCUUACAGUGAAUGAUGAACCACCAAAACUUCUGAGACAGAAACCUUCAGAAGCCAUGCUUACCUUUACUGGGAAAAUGUGCUCGUCUGUCAGUAUGGACACGACACAGUCCAGCUUCUUCAAGGCAGUGUUUCACUGCAAGGUCCCUGUAUGGAGCUGAUUUUCCCAAGCGUGUGUGAAUCUCUGCUCUAGCUGGCAUGACCUUGCUCUGGAACAUCAGGCACCUGUGUUGUGAGUCUCCCUCUAGUGCAUUCCAUAAAUUCCACAAUGCAUCUUUUCCUUCUAUGACACCUUCCACAGAAUAAGGUCUGCUAGGUCACAAGUGACACAGCUGAUUGUACUGCAGCAUGGAUCUGUUCCAGAGUAUUUUCUGUUCUAUGACAUUCUCAAAAUCAGAAGUCUCUCAUCUAAUGUUGGGACC